CAUUAAUCUUUCACCUGCAAUGAAACUAAUUUGAGCAAACGUUGAUAGAUUAUUUUCAUAUGUGGAUGUUUUCAUGACCAUAGUGGAGACAUUCAACUCUUCACUAUUCCCUGCUUCUAUCUUUAGUUUACUUUAUUGUCACGUGUACUGAGGUACAGUGAAACUACAGCACGCCCGUUUCUUUUACCCUUUCUGGGUAAAGAGUGUUCCUUUCAAAUACUCUUUGCUAAUCACGAACGCGGUAAGUUACCAAUGCUCUGUACUGAAGGGUCUGUCACAGAAGACACCAUUCAGUGACAGUGCUGUAAUUGCAAACCUUUCCAUGAUACCAGUAAAUGUUCCCAGUCUUUCCUGUUUUAAUAGACAAUAGGUGCUGGAGUAGGCCAUUCUGCCCUUCGAGCCAUUCAAUGUGAUCAUGGCUGUUCAUCCCCAAUCAGUACCCCAUUCCUGCCUUCUCCCCAUAUCCCCUGACUCCGCUAUCUUUAAGAGCCCUAUCUAGCUCUCUCUUGAAAGUAUCAAGAGAACCUGCCUCCACCGCCCUGAGGCAGAGAAUUCCACAGAUUAAAAUGAGCCCCGGUCCUGGAGUUACAUUCAUCACUGGUGAUGAGUUUAACCCAUAUCUUGUGUUUAAGAUAUUUGCUGUUUUAUACCAAUGCUCAGAACCCAAAGGAAUACUUUAAUUAUAAAAAAGAUGAAUUGAUAAUGUAAAUACAUAUUAUUCAAUGUCUUCCCCUUGUAUUCAAGGGGAAUACCACUCUAAACUUCUACGCUUCAUUUAUUUAAGUUACUUGUGCACUUUAAAAGCACAUUGAUACCAUAAAGGAACAAUAUUUUAAGGGCUUGUUAUCAGAAUACAGUUCAGCACACGAACAUGCCGACAGCGUCAGUGCCUGCACGUGAUCGAUAUCCCUCGAUAACCAUGUGCCUGUCUGAAAGCCUCGUAAACGGCACUGUGGUAUCUGCCUCCACCUCCAACCCUGGCAGCGCGUUCCAGAUACCCUCCGUUCUCUAUGUUUAAAACUAUAUCUUGCUCCACACAUCUCCUGUAAACUUUUCUCUCUUCGCACCUUAAAUCUAUUACCGCUAGAAUUUGACAUUUCCGCUCUGGGUAAAAAGAUUCUGACUACCCUAUCUGCCUCUCACAAUCUUACAUACUUCUUUUUGAAGGCACACAAAAAUGCUGGAGAAACUCAGUGGGUGCAGCAGCAUCUAUGGAGCGAAGGAGAUGGGUAACGUUUCGGGCCGAAACCCUUCUUCAGACUGGUCUUGAAUACUUCUUUUUGAUCUCCUUUCAACUUCCGAUGCUCCAGAGAAAACAGUUGACAUUUGUCCAGAUUUCUGCCCUCUAAUCCAGGUAGCACCAGGGCAAACCUCUCAAGUCUCCACGUCCUUCCUAUAGUGUGGCAGCCA